AGUGAACGCUGGCGGUAGGCCUAACACAUGCAAGUCGAACGGCAGCACAGUAAGAGCUUGCUCUUACGGGUGGCGAGUGGCGGACGGGUGAGGAAUACAUCGGAAUCUACUUUUUCGUGGGGGAUAACGUAGGGAAACUUACGCUAAUACAGCAUAUGACCUACGGGUGAAAGCAGGGGAUAUUCGGACCUUGCGCGAUUGAAUGAGACGAUGUCGGAUUAGCUAGUUGGCGGGGUAAAGGCCCACCAAGGCGACGAUCCGUAGCUGGUCUGAGAGGAUGAUCAGCCACACUGGAACUGAGACACGGUCCAGACUCCUACGGGAGGCAGCAGUGGGGAAUAUUGGACAAUGGGCGCAAGCCUGAUCCAGCCAUACCGCGUGAGUGAAGAAGGCCUUCGGGUUGUAAAGCCCUUUUGUUGGGAAAGAAAAGCAGCAGGUUAAUACCCCGCCGUUCUGACGGUACCCAAAGAAUAAGCACCGGCUAACUUCGUG
rnacentral:rRNA from 1 species